rnacentral:siRNA from 1 species
GAUUACCAUCACGAUGGAUGUAC